rnacentral:rRNA from 1 species
UUCGGAUUGUAGUCUGCAACCCGACUACAUGAAGCCGGAAUCGCUAGUAAUCGCGGAUCAGAAUGCCGCGGUGAAUACGUUCCCGGGUCUUGUACACACCGCCCGUCACACCAUGGGAGUCGGGAAUGCCCGAAGUCAGUGACCCAACCCAAGGGAGGGAGCUGCCGAAGGCAGGGCCUGGUGGACUGGGGUGAAGUCGUAACAAGGUACC